GGAGGCUGUGGACCAGUUUGCAGGGCGAGUUGAGAAUGUCUUCCAUUGCCAGAUGCAGCACCAAUCCAUCAUCUGUGCAGAGGGUGAGUUCUUCAGGUUCCAACGGGAAAUGUUGACUAAGUGACCAUCUAGUCUACUGGUGUUAUGCGUUUGAACUUGGACCAUCGUCAUUGUCUCCCGUGGCUGGACUGAUGUGGGAGAGCCAGCAUCGUCAA
rnacentral:lncRNA from 1 species